ensembl:lncRNA
GUUUGACCCAGGUCAUUGUUCUGCUCAUGCUUUGUGUGUUUAUCCUGGAUGUUAACCCGUUGUCUCUUGUGCCUCAGUUCUCGACCAACUCCGCCUGCUCUCUCUGGAUUCUGUCUGAACCUUCAGUCCGUCAUCCACAGUCAACCUGGUAUUUUCCAGAUUCCAUCCCUGGAUCAUCACCACCUGGCCCCUGCACCUGCGCUAGACGCCAUUCCAUCACACUUUCACUCCUGCCCUUUCUGCCUAAAAAACUAGUACAAACCAAGUCUCUGAUUUCCUCUCCAACAACGACUUACAUGACCCAAAUCAGCCUGGUUGUAGCUUGUAUUGCUUCUGUCACACGGUGGAUGAAAAAAAAUCGUGCUGGAGAGCAGUGUCCCCUGACUACACAAAAACUUGACCCAGUGGAGCCAUGGAUGCAUUAUCAGAGACAAACGCAACACAAGCUUUUUAUUCUGAUUAUUGCAAUGUCUCUCACUCUAGGCACUUUGGCCUUCACAGCCAAGUUAGACAUUGAAGACAGCUACCCCUGUCACUCUGGAGUCCUCAAGUUUCGCAGUGUGCUGGUGAAUGAAGGAGAUGGCUACAAUCCUGAAACGGGCAUCUUCACCUGCCCUGUGGACGGCCUCUAUUACUUCACUGUGCAUGCGUCUGUAUAUGGCCGUGGACAGUGUGCCAUAUACAAGAAUGGGGAGACAGUGGCUUCUCUGUAUCACACCUCUUUGCCUGACAAAUGUAGCCAAGUGGCCAGUACCAGCAGCGUGGUCAAACUGUCGAAAGAUAAUGAUGUGUGGGUGAACAUUUGGGGUCCUGGUAGAAAUGAUAUUUUUGCAACUGAAGAUAACGACACUGUGUUUACUGGAUUUCGUUUGGGUUGAUGACAUUUGGUGUCAUUAAUCCAAGCCAGCACCACAUGAUUGCUGUUUUUAUGUUAGGUACUUGCAUGUUUUACUGGUUUCUAUCAGUGCGCUUUUGUUGGGGUUUUAUGGUGUUUUCAAGAUGGAUGUGAAAAUUUUGCAGGUUGUUUUCUGACAGAAUAAAGCAAAAAUUAUUAAAACCUUGUCAUUUUGCAUCAAUAAAUGUAAAAAUUUGC